UUUUUUUUUUUUUUUAAAGGUUAUUAAAAAAAUCCUUUAAAUGCUGCAAUUCUGGAAUUAUUUCUCUUGCACUAAAAGUUCCCAGGGUGGCUUUUCCUUAUGGCAUUCGAGAAUCAUCCCACUUCAUCUCUCACCUGAAUCUUGUCAUCUGUGCCAUCUUGAAGUGAUCUGUGAACAAUGCUGGUCCCUUGGACAGCCCAAGCUGGUCAAUCAGGCAGAACAGACUAUGCAAAUGGAAUGGAAAGGCGAAGCGAUGAAGAACAGUGGCCCCCAUUGUCUUGGGCAUUUCAAAGCGAAGCCCAGCUGCAGCAGGCGUUGCUGUCUCCGGACCCUUGGUUGCUACUCUAAUGUCAUCAUUGCAAAACAUCACAUUUUGAAAACUCUACAGUCUGAAUGCAUGAGCAGCCCUCCACAAAGAUUUCACUUUGCCGUGACAUCUCUCGAAGUCACCCAAAAAAAGGAAAAAAAGGAAAAAAAACCGCCAGCCAACAACCAGUGGGGACUGUGAUCCCAGCCACAUUGCCAGCUCACAUCCCUCGGUCCCUUUCCCUGCGCUCCCAAUAACUGUGGUGCAGCUGAUGCUAAAUGCCUUUUGCAACCUUUUGGUGCCUCCUGUUCAGGAAGUUGUUCACUGCUGCAAACCUCCCAAGGAAGCCUGUGUACAGUUUUUGAUUGACUCAUGGCUACUAUAACUAUUAUUUAUUAACCAGCUCUUUGGGUGGCAAACCAGUUAUCCUCUUUGGGAACUCACAUGCUGAGGUUCUGGAGCUCAUGGACAUGGAGCUACAUGUGUGGACCAUGUGAAUUACUGAUUACAUGGCAGGAACAAAUUCUCCUCUAGCCUUGUUGGCUGUUCAACUUCUUGUCUGCUGUAAGGAUGAAGAACUGUCAGGUUCCAACUCCAAAAAUCCUUCCUGCUUUCUCCUGUGUUCUGCAACCCACGCUGGCCUAGUUUUGAAGCAUGCUGGAUAAUGAAUGUGAGCAGAUAAUUUCCUUCCUGUAAGAUCAUGGGCCCUUUCUAAUAUUAAUUUCUAGAGGACACUCAGGUCUUUAGCAAUGUAAUAAACCCGGGUGGGCACUAAAAAAAAAGUGAGUGUUGACAGGGCCUCUGAUUAUAACAAAUAAGUGAAAAUGGCUGUUCAUUAAAAUUUUGCUGAGAGACUAUUUUUGCCCUUGGGCAACAUUUUGUUACUCUGCUUUCAUGCCUCAGGGUGUUUCCUACUGAGCUGGCUAUACAAUUCUAUAGAUAGAACAAUACAUAUGCAGGCAUGCAUUAUCUAUAUCUCUCUUGUUUGCUAAACCUGAAGUAAUUUAUGUAAUUAUACACAUAAUGUAUUUUAUCCAAAUACACAAAAAAGAUUUUUUUUUUAAAUGCCACUUAGGAUCCAGAUUUAACUUAAACCACUACUUACUCUAUCUUCCUUAAUAGGAUACUAAAAAGGAAUUUUAUGACAACAUUAUCAGUAGCAUUUUGCUGAUAAUUAGAAUAACAAUAAUAAUACUGAGAUAUUUUUUCAGUAAUAAUGGUGUUAUUAAUGAGAUUUUUAUGAAAGACAGACUUCUUUAGUAUAAUUAUGAAAAUUGAUCUUUUGCAUUUUACUUAUUCACUGAAAUCAGAUAAGUGGCUUAACUACAUGUAUUAUUUCUAAUAAAUAUUCAAAAGAAUGCAUUUAAACAAGGCACCUCAUUCUAUUCUUGCUCAUAUUGCUUGCAUUUAAAUAAAACUGUAAUUGCUCUGCUUUUUUAAACUGCUAGUUUGGAUUAGCUGUCUAACCUGUACAGUGUAGCUGUUUGCUGUUUGCAUUUUUAAUAGCUUUAUUACCAUUUGGUGAAGCCUUAAUUUCUCACUCCCUUGAAGAGUCCUGCCUUUAAGUCAGCUCUACAAUUUAACCAGCAAUAAUCUGUCAAGAUAAGAUAAAGACCUACACCAGAUGAAAUGCAGUAUUUUUGUGUAGCAUUCUGUCAUUGUUAAAGGGAAGAUCUGAGUAUGUCAAAAUGUAACACCUGAAAGUUUAAUAAACUUUGUAGCAUAAUUUUACAGUUCACAUUUUAAAAUAAAUUGUUCUAGA
rnacentral:lncRNA from 1 species